CUCGGGCGUGCUUACACUGCAAGUCGAGCGGAAAGGCCACUUCGGUGGUACUCGAGCGGCGAACGGGUGAGUAACACGUGAGUAAUCUGCCCCUGGCUUUGGGAUAGCCACCGGAAACGGUGAUUAAUACCGGAUAUGACAUGGACUCGCAUGGGUUUGUGUGGAAAGUUUUUCGGCCAGGGAUGUGCUCGCGGCCUAUCAGCUUGAUGGUGAGGUAAUGGCUCACCAUGGCUUCGACGGGUAGCCGGCCUGAGAGGGUGACCGGCCACACUGGGACUGAGACACGGCCCAGACUCCUACGGGAGGCAGCAGUGGGGAAUAUUGGACAAUGGGCGGAAGCCUGAUCCAGCAACGCCGCGUGAGGGAUGACGGCCUUCGGGUUGUAAACCUCUUUCAGUACCGACGAAGCGCAAGUGACGGUAGGUACAGAAGAAGCACCGGCCAACUACGUGCCAGCAGCCGCGGUAAUACGUAGGGUGCGAGCGUUGUCCGGAAUUAUUGGGCGUAAAGGGCUCGUAGGCGGUUUGUCGCGUCGGGAGUGAAAACGCCGUGCUUAACACGGCGCUUGCUUUCGAUACGGGCAGACUAGAGGUAUGCAGGGGAGAACGGAAUUCCUGGUGUAGCGGUGAAAUGCGCAGAUAUCAGGAGGAACACCGGUGGCGAAGGCGGUUCUCUGGGCAUUACCUGACGCUGAGGAGCGAAAGUGUGGGGAGCGAACAGGAUUAGAUACCCUGAUAGUCCACACCGUAAACGUUGGGCGCUAGGUGUGGGGUCCAUUCCACGGGAUUCCGUGCCGCAGCUAACGCAUUAAGCGCCCCCGCCUGGGGGAGUACGGCCGCAAGGCUAAAAACCUCAAAGGAAUUGACC
rnacentral:rRNA from 1 species